rnacentral:miRNA from 1 species
CCCUGACCCUCUCCCCGCAAGCGGGGAGAGGGGACUGGGAGCAUGCCGCGAGUCCCUUCUCCCCGCAGGCGGGGAGAAGGUGCCGG